rnacentral:tRNA from 1 species
GACUCAGUGGCCGAGUGGAUAACGCGAUGGCAUUUGAAGUGAAAGGUACUGGGUUCGAGUCCCAGAGAUGC